CGGCGGACGGGUGAGUAACACGUGGGUAACCUACCUAUAAGACUGGGACAACUUCGGGAAACCGGAGCUAAUACCGGAUAAGAUAUCGAACCGCAUGGUUCGAUAGUGAAAGAUGGUUUUGCUAUCACCUAUAGAUGGACCCGCGCCGUAUUAGCUAGUUGGUGAGGUAACGGCUCACCAAGGCAACGAUACGUAGCCGACCUGAGAGGGUGAUCGGCCACACUGGAACUGAGACACGGUCCAGACUCCUACGGGAGGCAGCAGUA
rnacentral:rRNA from 1 species